rnacentral:lncRNA from 1 species
AAAGUUUAUUUAUUACAAAUGAAGCUUAACUAACUUAAACCACUAUCAAGUAAUAUAACUACCAAUUGUCAUUAACUAAUUAUCACUCAUACUCCUCCUCAAGGUGAAGGAAGUAUUUACAUACUGAAACCUUGUAUACAACAACUCUCUACAAACUUGACUUCUUUCUGAGUAAGUAAUUGAGCAAAAGGUAGGGGAGAAAACCUAACUGGGAUCUAUAAUUUUGCUUCUCUUAUUUUUUUUAACUUUACUAGGAAACCCUUCCUUUAGAUCACAUAUUUCUCAAUGCUAGAAUUGUAAACAAUCCUUUAAUUUUACACUUGUUUCCUGAUUCAGCAUCAUCCCU